AGUUUUGGUGCCUGUCCUGGAUCUCACUCUGUAGACCAGGCUGGCCUCAAACUCACAGAGAUCCGCCUGGCUGUGCCUCCCAAGUGCUGGGAUUAAAGGUGUGCGCCACCACUGCUCGGCUCCAAAUCUUCAAUACAUGUUUACUAAGGGAAUUCAGACACCAUUAAUCCUCGACUGUCCCUUGGACUACCUUCCUGGUUCCUUGUACAUCUUACUAAUUAAGGCCUACAGUAUGGGUACUGAAACUGGCCUUGAACUCUGUUGCUUAUACCUCCUAAGUAUUAAGAUGGUAGGCAUGUUUGCUAUCCUCACUUAGAUUCUGCAUGGGCUUGUAUACCAUAUUUAGAUGAGGGUACAAGCUGUGGAAGUUUCUACUCCAUGUGAAUCCCAAAGGUCCAACUCCAUGUUAGUGGGACUCCACUGAGUGGGAUAGCAUAGGUAAAUGAUCAGCUAAUGUUAUCAUUGCCCCUACCCCAUCAGAAUCUGGCCCCAUGAACCUUUGAAGUCGUCUUGUAAACUUGGAGCUUAUACCCACCUAUGGUAGUGAUUUAAGACUGUUCUCUUAGGUUUUUUUGAGACAGGGUUUCUCUGUAACCCCCAUGGCUGUCCAGGAACUCCACUUUGUAGACCAGACUGAUCUCAGACUCAAAAGACCUGCCUGCCUCUGCCUCUCAAGUGAUAUUAAAACCAUGCACUACCACUCCCAGUUUAGACUUUAUUUUUGACCCAGGCAGGAAUAGUUCUUGUAAGAGCCAAUUUUUGGUGCAUUGUGGAUGGGCAUAGUAGGACCUGGGUUUGUCCAAUACCAGCUGGUAAUGUAUCUGUGACUCCCCCGUUCCCCUUCCCCAAAGAAUAUUAGGCCUUAAACAUAACCUGGAAUAUGGCCAGUUAGUUUUCCUUCAUAUAUCUGAUGGGGGGGGGGGUGGUGUAACGUGCAACCCUUGAAGCUCAGCUGGAAUGGCACGGUGUGCUUAAAUAAAUGUAAAUAAAAUACCCAUACAUGGCCAGCCAUGGUGGCAGAGGCAGGCAGAUCUUGUAUGAGAUUGAGACCAGCCUGACCUACAAAGUGGAGUUCCAGGAUAGCCAAGGUUGUCUCAAAAGUCAGAAUUUAGUUCCCAGGCUCCAUUAUGAGUAGCUCAGUCACCUGUAACUAGUUCUAGGGGAUUUGAUGAUCUCUGGCCUCAAUGGGCACUAAACUCACAAAUACUUUUUUUUUUUUUUUUUUUAUUUUAGCUAGGGAUAGUGGUGCAUGCCUUUGAUCCCAAACUUGGGAUGCAUUGGCUGGUGUAUCUCAUGAGUUUGGGGCCAGCCUGGUCUACAGAGAGUUCUAGAAUAGCCAGGACUGUUAAAUAGUGAAACUGUUAUCUCAAGCAGAAAAAAACAGGUAUGGUGACACAUGCUGGUGAAUGAGUUCAAGGCCAGCCUGGUCUGCAUAGUUCCAGGUCAGCUGGGGCUGAAUAGAUCUGUCUCCAAAAAAAAGGUUUUUUUAAUGUAACUAUGUUAGUUUGUGCAGGUGUCUAUAGAUACCCAUGCCCCUCAUCACUGCUGUAAGCAUUGACUGCUUCAAGCUGCAGUCUAUAGGGAAUUGCCUCAGCAGAACAGUGGCUGCUGUGUCUGAGAAGUCAGCAAGCUCUGGGGGGCGGGGGUAUAUAUGCUCAUAAGUCCACUCCACCUCAACUUGGGACUAACUAAAAUUCAGUCUUUGACCCUUGUGAAGGCUAUUCUUGGUUACCAACUUGUAAUUACCUAAAACCCAAGUAGGUGUGUAUAGCUGUGAGAUUUUUUUUUUCUUAAAUCAUUUGAAGUGGGAAGACCCACUUCAUCUGGAUCUUUUGUGGUGGAAAAUCUACCUUUAAUGGCGGCCACAUCUACUGGCGGCCUUUAAGAAGGACAGAAGAAAGUAAGUUUGCUCUUUGCCUGCUUGCUCUCGCUGGCAAGUCCAUUCCUUCACUGACAUUAGAGCCUACUUCAGGAUUCUUGAAUAUGCUGAAGAGAGACAUUCAGUCUUGUGGACUGAACUACUACUGGAUUCUUGGACCAUCUGUUGGCAGAUAACCAUUGUUGGACUACCUGGACCACAGCCUGUAAACCACUCUAACAAGUGAAUAAGUCCCUUUAAGCCAGGGUGGGGGUGGAGGGUUCCAUGCCUUUAAUCCUAGCACUCUAGGAGGUAGGGGCAAGUGGAUCUCUGAAUCUGCUGUAGAACUAGAUUUAGGACAGCCAAGGCUACACAAAUCCUAUCUCGAAAACCACAUGAAUAAUCCCCUACACACACACACUCACACACACUCUCUCUCUCUCUCCUCUCAGCUCUUCCUCUAGAGAACCCUAAUAGCCCUUCUUCCUCAGCUCUGCUUGCAUCCUCUCCUUGACCUCAUUCUUCUUCCUUACAUCCCUUCUGAGAGCACUAUAUAUUGAAUCCCUGCUUGCAGGCUCUGUUUUCAGGGACUUGAUUGACAGCAGUUGGGUUUAGAAGUGGUCCAGUGAAGCAGUGGCAGGUGGACUGUUGAUAGUCCCUGGGGUGAGCAAUGGGGCAGUUGCCACACUACUCACAUUGUUCCCUGGGAGAAGGCACCAGUGUCCACUCAGUGUCUUCCCCAGAGCUAUGCCGCUUCUCUAUCAUGAAUCUCUAAGGUAGCUGACCCACACUGCUGCACUGCACUAAGGUGUCUGUCCCAUUGGUUGGAGCUGAUGAUCAGGUGAGAAGAUGGUCUAAAGGUGCUCUCGGGAGCCUCCAUGUUCUUGCUGGUCUAAUCAUCCAAGGCCUGCUGAAGUAAAAGGUAAAUUAUUGUACCUGGCAUCUCCUACCACUAGGAGGAAGUAAUACGGCGCUGUUUCUUGGACCUCAUUACUGUUUGGAGGCCGCAGAUUUGGCACUUGGGAAUGAAGAUCCAAUCCUACUCUGCACAGGAAGACUUUUGAACUAGGCAAGAAGUCCCUUACCACAUGCUGACCCUAAAUGCUGGGCUGGCUCUGACCCGAGAGACCAUACAUUUCUGCUCACUAUGGGGCUGCUAUAUGGCUCAGUGGGUAACAUGCUUGUUGUGCAGUCAUGAGGACCUGAGUUUGAAUCCCCAGAAUCCACAUAGAGCCAGGCUCGGUGGCACAAGUGUGUAACUCCAGCCCUGGGGAGUGGAGACAGGCAGACCAUGGGAGCUCACAGGCCAGACAAUCGAGCCAAAAUGGUGGAGUCCUGGUUCAGUGAGGGACCCUGCCUCAAAAACAUAAGGUGGAGAGCAAUACAGGAAGGCAUUGGACAUGAAUUUCUGCCUCCACAUGUGACACACAGGGGAGUCCACCCACACCCACACAAUCACCAGGUCCCUGGUGUCCUAUCACAGUUCACAAGAGGAACUGAGCCGUGGUCUGGAAACUGCACAUUUUCCAACAGACUCCAGAGAGUCAAAAUCAUUUGAGACGGAUUCUGCUGGAUUGUCAAAUAAAUGAGGAGUCAGUUCCUGGCCCUUCCUAUUCAUCAUCUUCCCUGAAUCACUGCUACAUAAGGAGCAGACAAGUCAAUAACAAAGAAACAAGUGACUGGAAAACUGGACAACCGGACAAAGGAUCUGCGUACACACAUUUCUCCAAGAAUACGAACUGCUGGGGCUGGAGAGGUCCUGAGUUCAAUUCCCAGCAACCACAUGGUGGCUCACAACCACUUGUAAUGAGACCUGGUGCCCUCUUCUGGCCUGCAAGCAUGAAUGUAGGCAGAACACUGUAUACAUAAUAAAUAAAGAAAUCUUUUAAAAAAAAAGAAUACGAGCUGCUAAUAAGUACAUGAGAAGGUGUCAGCACUGUUAGCCCACAGGAAAGCUCCGAUCAAAACCACCGUGUGAUACCACUUCACACCACUAGUGUGGUACUAAAAGAAAGCCACAUCAAAUCUCACAACCUGUGUGUUGCCUUAUAUGGCAAAAGGUGUCAGGAGCUUGAGGCUAGAAGCUUAUCCUGACUCAUUUGGCUGCUUUUCAGAUGUGAUUGCCUGUGUCCUCAUGAGAAAGCAGCACAUGCAUGUGGUUUGUUUGUUUCAACUUUGACAGGUUCUCGCUCUGUAGCCCAGGCUGACCUGCAACCCUCUUGCCUCUCUACCUUCCAAGUAAUAGGAUUACAAAUGUGCACCACUGUGCCAGGCAGCAUACUGAGUGUACGCACGCACGCACGCACGCACGCACGCACGCACGCACGCACGCACGCACGCACGCACGCACGCACUUGGGGGACGAGUAAAACAAAGGCAGAAGUCAGAGUGAUGCAGUCCCAAGCCAAGGAAUGCCACUUAUGACAGUGAUGAGGCAGACCAGGCAAUCGGGACCACCUUUCACAAACUCGGAUGGUGGGAAAGAAAGAGGGCGCUGCAGCUUUGGAAAACGGGCCUGACUGCAGAGAUACCAAGGGGGUGAGCAAUUCCCCUCCUCAGGAAUACACCCAGGAAAGAAGAAAGUCUGCUUCCAAGUAGCAACUUGUCCGUUAAUAUUACAGCAGCAUUAGUCACCUGCACCCCAAAUGUCCAGCUGCCGAGUGGAUAAAUAAAACCUGUUGCACACA